AUGGCUGACAUCAUGAGGAGGUUAGAUCUGUGUCCCUUGAGAGAAGGAACCGUUCUCCGAUCACCUAUCCAUGGAUUCUCCAUCAACGACGCUGAUAUCUCUAGCGGUGCUGAUGACACAUCGAUUUUCAAAUUCAAUGAAUGCUUGCUGGUUGCUACAAGCUUGAUAGCUGAGACAUCCUGUGACAUCAAUGAAGACUUCAAUGAAGCAUUGUACCUGAGCUGUCGACAGAAGAUUGGUUCAACUGAGAUGAUAUUUGCUCUAUUGACUACGAAAAAGAACUUAUCUGAAGAAACUCAAGGGUGGAAAGAAAAGAUCCGUCAGCCCCUCCUGGACCUCCAGAAGCAAAUUUAUGCACGCGUUCGGGCCUUGAGAGCUGAAGUUGCCGAGAUUGCAGGGAUAUCAUCCGCCGCAGCUCCAACAGACACUGAAAACAAGAUCAAGCUUAAGAUUUGCUCAAUCAGAGCUCUUCGACUGGGAGGUGAAAUGGCUGACAUCAUGAGGAGGUUAGAUCUGUGUCCCCUGAGAGAAGGAACCGUUCUCCGAUCACCUAUCCAUGGAUUCUCCAUCGACGACGCUGAUAUCUCUAGCGGUGCUGAUGACACAUCGAUUUUCAAAUUCAAUGAAUGCUUGCUGGUUGCUACAAGCUUGAUAGCUGAGACAUCCUGUGACAUCAAUGAAGACUUCAAUGAAGCAUUGUACCUGAGCUGUCGACAGAAGAUUGGUUCAACUGAAAUGAUAUUUGCUCUGUUGACUACGAAAAAGAACUUAUCUGAAGAAACUCAAGGGUGGAAAGAAAAGAUCCGUCAGCCCCUCCUGGACCUCCAGAAGCAAAUUUAUGCACGCGUUCGGGCCUUGAGAGCUGAAGUUGCUGAGAUUGCACGGAUAUCAUCCGCCGCAGCUCCAACAGACACUGAAAACAAGAUCAAGCUUAAGAUUUGCUCAAUCAGAUCUCUUCUUCGACUGGGAGGUGAAAUGGCUGACAUCAUGAGGAGGUUAGAUCUGUGUCCCCUGAGAGAAGGAACCGUUCUCCGAUCACCUAUCCAUGGAUUCUCCAUUGAUGAUGUUUGA
rnacentral:rRNA from 1 species